UAAGGAAUAUUGGACAAUGGAGGCAACUCUGAUCCAGCCAUGCCGCGUGAAGGAAUAAGGCCCUAUGGGUUGUAAACUUCUUUUAGACGGGACAAAACCCCUUUACGUGUAAAGGGUUGAUGGUACUGUCAGAAUAAGCAUCGGCUAACUUCGUGCCAGCAGCCGCGGUCAUACGAAGGAUGCAAGCGUUAUCCGGAAUUAUUGGGUUUAAAGGGUGCGUAGGCGGACUAAUAAGUCAGUGGUGAAAGCCUGCAGCUUAACUGCAGAAUGGCCAUGGAUACUGUUAGUCUUGAGUACAGUUGAGGUAGGCGGAAUGUGUCAUGUAGCGGUGAAAUGCUUAGAUAUGACACAGAACACCGAUUGCGAAGGCAGCUUGCUAAGCUGUAACUGACGCUGAGGCACGAAAGCGUGGGGAGCAAACA
rnacentral:rRNA from 1 species